rfam:Nematostella vectensis strain CH2 x CH6 NEMVEscaffold_3_Cont610, whole genome shotgun sequence.
GUCCUUGUGGCCUAAUGGAUAAGGCAUCGGCCUCCGGAGCCGGGGAUUGAGGGUUCGAGUCCCUUCAAGGACG